CUUUCCUACGGGAGGCAGCAGUGAGGAAUAUUGGUCAAUGGCCGGAAGGCUGAACCAGCCAAGCCGCGUGAAGGACGAAGGUGCCAAGCAUUGUAAACUUCUUUUGUCAAGGGACAAAAUCAGGCUCGAGAGCCUGACCGAGGGUACUUGAAGAAAAAGCAUCGGCUAACUACGUGCCAGCAGCCGCGGUAAUACGUAGGGGGCAAGCGUUAUCCGGAAUUACUGGGUGUAAAGGGAGAGUAGGCGGCAAGGUAAGCGAUAUGUGAAAGCCUUAAGCUUAACUAAAGGAUUGCAUAACGAACUAU
rnacentral:rRNA from 1 species